GUGUCAGCUGGGCAGAAAGAGCCCGAAAUGCUCAUUAUCUUUAUGUAAAAAAGUGAGUUUGGUCGGAAGUACACAUCCGACCUUAUGAUACUAGAGUCGAGAUAUAUUUUAAAAAAUAAUUAAG